CCUGACGACAAUAGCGAGUUGGUCCCACCCCUUCCCAUUCCGAACAGGGCCGUGAAACGACUCAGCGCCGAUGAUAGUACGGACUACCCGUGUGAAAGUAGGACAUUGUCAGGC
rnacentral:rRNA from 1 species